ensembl:miRNA eca-mir-8988 eca-mir-8988
CUCCCUGAAAUGUCCCUCAGCCUCUUCCCUUUUCCCCAGGGCCGUGUUCAAGCCGGCUGGGGAGGUAGGGGCCAUGCCCUUAGCCCCCAGCUUGUUUGUACUGCAGUGAGGGGAAGAGGAGAGGAGGUGAACGGAGAUUUCUUAU